AGAGUUUGAUCAUGGCUCAGAACGAACGCUGGCGGCGUGGAUAAGACAUGCAAGUCGAGCGAGAUUUUUUUCUGUAGCAAUACAGGGAAAAGUCUAGCGGCGAACGGGUGCGUAACACGUGGGCAACCUGCCAAGAAGUGGGGGAUAGCUCGCCGAAAGGCGAAUUAAUACCGCAUGUGAUCAGAGUGGACAUCCAUUCAAAAUCAAAGUCGGGGCAACCUGACGCUUCUUGAGGGGCCCGCGGCCUAUCAGCUAGUUGGUGAGGUAACGGCCCACCAAGGCUUAGACGGGUAGCUGGUCUGAGAGGACGACCAGCCACACUGGGACUGAGACACGGCCCAGACACCUACGGGUGGCAGCAGUCGAGAAUUUUUCUCAAUGGGGGAAACCCUGAAGGAGCGACGCCGCGUGGAGGAUGAAGGUCUUCGGGUUGUAAACUCCUGUCAUUUGGGAACAAUGCGCAAAUAUUAACUGUAUUUGCGUUGAUAGUACCAGAAGAGGAAGGGACGGCUAACUCUGUGCCAGCAGCCGCGGUAAUACAGAGGUCCCAAGCGUUGUUCGGAUUCAUUGGGCGUAAAGGGUGCGUAGGCGGCGCGGUAAGUCGGGUGUGAAAUCUCGGGGCUUAACUCCGAAACUGCAUUCGAUACUGCCGUGCUUGAGGACUGGAGAGGAGACUGGAAUUUACGGUGUAGCGGUGAAAUGCGUAGAUAUCGUAAGGAAGACCAGUGGCGAAGGCGGGUCUCUGGACAGUUCCUGACGCUGAGGCACGAAGGCCAGGGGAGCAAACGGGAUUAGAUACCCUAGUAGUCC
rnacentral:rRNA from 1 species